CAAGACAUAAUUUAAGUAGAAUGCUAGCUUUGGGGGUUGGCUGUGGGAGUUAAAUUCUCUCUGUCUUGA
rnacentral:tRNA from 1 species